AUGGGCCAUGUUUGAACCAAAACCAUAAAGAAAGUGACCCGGGUUGUCAUUAAGAAGUACUACACGCGCUUGGACAAUGGCUUCUACAUGAACAAGCGCGUGUGUGAGGAGAUUGCCCCCCAGCAAGAAGCUCUGCAACAAGAUAGCCAGCUAUGUCACGCAUCUGAUGAAGUGGAUCCAGAGAGGCCAAGUGAGAGGUAUCUCCAUCAAGUUGCAGGAGGAAGAGGGAGAAAGGAGGGACAAUUACGUUCUGGAGGUCUCACCCCUGGAUCAGGAGAUCAUUGAAGUAGAUCCUGACACUAAGGAAAUGCUGAAGCUUUUGUACUUUGGCAGUCUGUCCAACCUGCAGGUCACUCAGCUUACAGUUGAGAUGAACUUCAAAACACCAUGAGGAACUGUUUGAGUCUUUCUGUGAUGCUGUCAUAUUUUCAAUAAAUCUGGGACAACAA